UGCAGAAUCCCGCGAACCAUCGAGUCUUUGAACGCAAGUUGCGCCCGAGGCCACCCGGCCGAGGGCACGCCUGCCUGGGCGUCACGCAAAAACACACUCCCAACCCCCCUCAUCGGGAAUCGGGAUGCGGCAUCUGGUCCCUCGUCUCGCAAGGGGCGGUGGACCGAAGAUCGGGCUGCCGGCGUACCGCGCCGGACACAGCGCAUGGUGGGCGUCCUCGCUUUAUCAACGCAGUGCAUCCGACGCGUAGCCGGCAUGAUGGCCUCAAAACGACCCAGCGAACGAAGCGCACGUCGCUUCGACCGCGACCCCAGGUCAGGCGGGACUACCCGCUGAGUUUAAGCAUAUAAAUAAGCGGAGGAGAAGAAACUUACAAGGAUUCCCCUAGUAACGGCGAGCGAACCGGGAGCAGCCCAGCUUGAGAAUCGGGCGGCUGUGCCGUCCGA
rnacentral:rRNA from 1 species